UGGGGAAUAUUGCACAAUGGGCGCAAGCCUGAUGCAGCCAUGCCGCGUGUGUGAAGAAGGCCUUCGGGUUGUAAAGCACUUUCAGCGAGGAGGAAGGUGGUGAACUUAAUACGUUCAUCAAUUGACGUUACUCGCAGAAGAAGCACCGGCUAACUCCGUGCCAGCAGCCGCGGUAAUACGGAGGGUGCAAGCGUUAAUCGGAAUUACUGGGCGUAAAGCGCACGCAGGCGGUUUGUUAAGUCAGAUGUGAAAUCCCCGGGCUCAACCUGGGAACUGCAUUUGAAACUGGCAAGCUAGAGUCUCGUAGAGGGGGGUAGAAUUCCAGGUGUAGCGGUGAAAUGCGUAGAGAUCUGGAGGAAUACCGGUGGCGAAGGCGGCCCCCCUGGACGAAGACUGACGCUCAGGUGCGAAAGCGUGGGGAGCAAAACAGGAUUAGAUACCCUGGUAGUCCACGCUGUAAACGAUGUCGAUUUUGGAGGUUGUGCCCUUGAGGCGUGGCUUCCGGAGCUAACGCGUUAAAUCGACCG
rnacentral:rRNA from 1 species